GACCGCCUGGGGAGUACGGCCGCAAGGUUAAAACUCAAAUGAAUUGACGGGGGCCCGCACAAGCGGUGGAGCAUGUGGUUUAAUUCGAUGCAACGCGAAGAACCUUACCUACUCUUGACAUCCAGAGAACUUUCCAGAGAUGGAUUGGUGCCUUCGGGAACUCUGAGACAGGUGCUGCAUGGCUGUCGUCAGCUCGUGUUGUGAAAUGUUGGGUUAAGUCCCGCAACGAGCGCAACCCUUAUCCUUUGUUGCCAGCGGUUAGGCCGGGAACUCAAAGGAGACUGCCAGUGAUAAACUGGAGGAAGGUGGGGAUGACGUCAAGUCAUCAUGGCCCUUACGAGUAGGGCUACACACGUGCUACAAUGGCGCAUACAAAGAGAAGCGACCUCGCGAGAGCAAGCGGACCUCAUAAAGUGCGUCGUAGUCCGGAUUGGAGUCUGCAACUCGACUCCAUGAAGUCGGAAUCGCUAGUAAUCGUGGAUCAGAAUGCCACGGUGAAUACGUUCCCGGGCCUUGUACACACCGCCCGUCACACCAUGGGAGUGGGUUGCAAAAGAAGUAGGUAGCUUAACCUUCGGGAGGGCGCUUACCACUUUGUGAUUCAUGACUGGGGUGAAGUC
rnacentral:rRNA from 1 species